rnacentral:rRNA from 1 species
GUGGGGAAUCUUGCGCAAUGGGCGAAAGCCUGACGCAGCCAUGCCGCGUGGAUGAUGAAGGUCUUAGGAUUGUAAAAUCCUUUCACCGGUGAAGAUAAUGACUGUAGCCGGAGAAGAAGCCCCGGCUAACUUCGUGCCAGCAGCCGCGGUAAUACGAAGGGGGCUAGCGUUGCUCGGAUUUACUGGGCGUAAAGGGCGCGUAGGCGGACAUUUAAGUCAGGGGUGAAAUCCCGGGGCUCAACCUCGGAACUGCCUUUGAUACUGGGUGUCUUGAGUAUGAGAGAGGUGUGUGGAACUCCGAGUGUAGAGGUGAAAUUCGUAGAUAUUCGGAGGAACACCAGUGGCGAAGGCGGCUCACUGGCUCGAUACUGACGCUGAGGUGCGAAAGCGUGGGGAGCAAACAGGAUUAGAUACCCUUGUAGUCC